AUCAAAUCUCAUCUACAUAUUCUACAAUUAAUUAUUAUCAUCCUAAAACAUACAGAUCUAAUCAUGGCCAAAAACUCAAUUAAUAAUUAAUUACCAUAAACAUGCAAAUCUAUUAAAAAUAAUCCUAAACAUUCAUAAUCAUGGAAAAACUAGCAGAUCUAACAUGGUAAAUCAUGGAUCUAAAAACAAAAAAACUUAAAUCUAGCAUAUGGAGAUUCAAAUCCUAAACAUGUAAAAAAAACUGACAUAUCUAAAAUUUGAAAUAAUCAUGUAAAAAUAAAUAUAAACAAAUGAAUAAAGACAUAUGAAUAUAAAAAAUAAAUAAAAAGAAAACAAAAAGGUAUGAAAUAAGAUGAUAAUAGAGAAAUCCUUAGGUUUUCACCAUAUUGUGUAGGCUCAUGAAUGUUAGAAGGAGAUGUCAGUUCAAAGAUUGAAUAUAUGUUUGUGUUUCCAGAGUGUUUUAGUAUAUUAGAAAUUUUAGUGUAAUACCCUAAAAAAAAAAUUUCUUCUUUCCUUUCCUCCCCCCUUUUCUUCUUCUUCUUCUUCUUUCCUCUCCCCACCACCUCCUCCAUUUCCAUCGUCUGCACCUAUAGAAGCCACCAAAAUUUUCUUCUUUCCUUCUCCUCUCGCUGACAUCGUCUUCCUCUUCUCAUUUCCUUAUCGUUUGGCGUCGGCUUGUGGGUGGAGUUGCUCCCUCCUUGUUGCCACCAUACAACCAGCCGCUUGCCUCCUCUUCCUUGCAAAUCCGAUUGCGGAUUUGUGUUCCCCGCCCUUUGAAACCUAAUGACAGCUCCUCCUCUAGCCUCCAUCGUCUCUGGCAGCCUUGGUAUAGUCACACUGGAGCAACGCCUUAUCAGUCGCAAUCCAACGUCCUCCUAUGAGAUUUGGCCGUGAUUUCAGUGUUUUCAGACUUUUCGCAACUCAAACUUUGCGUAGGCGCUUCCGGAUUCGAAAUUUGACACCGUUGGUAGUACCGGCUUUCGGACCUUGGUGUUUCCAAAUGUGCAAGAUUUCAGAUUUUCGGCUGGAGUCAGGAAAAAUAAUACAGUUUUUGUGGCCCGACUCCUAUUAAUUAAUUACAAAAUAUUUGAAGUGUUUCUAGCAGGAUCUGGAUCCGUUAUACGGGGGUAAACGUCCAUAUUUUAGAGGAGAUUUUGCCGAAUUCUCGUUAAAAUUUUCGAGUCUGAAUUUUCUUAGACAGUCUAAUCUAGGAGUCUAGGCCUAGAAAAAUUAAAAUAUCUUAUUAACUAAGUAUUUUUGUAAAUAGAUAAUUCGUCCGUCCAGCUAGCUCCACCCGAGAUGUAAGAGCAGAAUACAGAACGCGGCAAAACUGUGAGUUAAAGUCAUACAAUCAACUGCUUUUGUAUCAUGUCUAAAUUAAAUGCACUGUUAAUUGAUUAAUAAUAAUAAUAAUAAUAAUUAGCAUUAUUAUUAUAAAUUUUAUUUUUAUUAUUAUCGAUAUUAUUAUUAGUAUUAUUACCAUUAUUGUUGAUAUCAUAUUUACUGUUAUUUUAAUAUUAUUAUUAUUAUAUCUGAUUUUCAUGUUUAAUAUACUCGAGGCUAUUAAACUUCAAUUCUUAAUAUGUUAUUAAAUAUUUUAUGUUUGCUUAUGAUUAUAUUAUUUAUAAUUAUUGUUGAUGCUAUAAUUAUCACAUCGGGAUGAGGCGACAGUAAAACAUGUCAGGUGAUGGGUUGCAUUAGGACCGUAUGCGCACCGGUAUUAAUCAGAGACAUGUAGUAAAAGGUUAUUUUUGAGUUUUGCCCUGGUCGAAUAUAACUCUUUAGGCUGUGAAAAUUUGACUGCCGGAGGAAGGUUCCUAGUUGAGCAUUGCUCUUUGGGCGCCAGUUUAUCUAGGAAUUAAGUGACCAGGCUGGAUUUAAGAACCCUAGUUGAGCUUCGCUUUCUGGGUGUUAUAUACCUAUUGGAAUAAGAGAGCCGAAAGGCUGCUAGUAUUGAGGUGACAGUUAGAUUCUCCAUCGCCUUUCAUUUGACAGCCCGAAUUUCUUCUCCUUCGGGCCUAUUGUAAUUAAUUUUUACUUUUGUAUUUUAAAUUGUUUAAAAUUCUAGACUCUCCGCAGUAAUAUACUUGACAUAUUAUAUUUGAUUUUGGUUUGCAAUAAAUUAUGGAAUAUUUGUUAGGAUCAAGUUAGAGACUUGUGAAUGACAUGUUGUGCUCAUUAAAUAGUAUGUAUAUGUAUGUAUAUUUGAAUUGUCGAUUAAUCAGACUUACUGCGGGUUUUAGUGUCCUUGAGCCUACCCAUUUUCUAGUGUCAA